GCCGGGUUAGCUCAGCUGGUUAGAGCAUCGGAAUCAUAAUCCGAGUGUCCCCAGUUCGAAUCUGGGACCCGGUACCA
rnacentral:tRNA from 1 species